UACGUAGGGCGCAAGUGUUGUCCGGAAUUAUUGGGCGUAAAGAGCUCGUAGGCGGCCUGUUACGUCUGCUGUGAAAUCCCGGGGCUUAACCCCGGGCGUGCAGUGGAUACGGGCAGGCUGGAGGCAGGCAGGGGAGAACGGAAUUCCCGGUGUAGCGGUGAAAUGCGCAGAUAUCGGGAGGAACACCGGUGGCGAAGGCGGUUCUCUGGGCCGCAACUGACGCUGAGGAGCGAAAGCAUGGGGAGCGAACAGG
rnacentral:rRNA from 1 species